AAGGGAAGGGACUGUGGAAUUGGGACGGAAGACAGAAAAGGGUGGUCCUGAUGGUGUAAAAAGCCUGUGGGAAGUGCAGGUAGCAGCAUGUUGUCCUGACAGCUGUUUCAACUUCUCAGACCUUGUCAGUUCACUGCUAUGUAGCAGGUGCAGCCUUUUCUUUUCCUGAAUCUUUACUCCAUAAAGGCAACAACAAGUCAAGGCAGAGGCUGGCCCUGGAUUUAUACAAGUGCAGACACCACUAAGUGAGGUGAAACAUACAACUAGACGCAUAGGUUCGAGUGCCCACAUGAUCACCACAGCAAGGGUACCUGCUGAUAAAAGGAUACGAAUUGCCUUCAGUCUAAAUGAUUCCCCAGAUGAUUCACCCCCAGAGAAUGCCUUUCCUUUGGCUUUUCCAAAUCUAGAACAGCAGCUCCAG